rnacentral:rRNA from 1 species
AGAGUUUGAUCCUGGCUCAGGACGAACGCUGGCGGCGUGCUUAACACAUGCAAGUCGAACGGUAAGGCCCCUUUUUUUGGGGUGUACGAGUGGCGAACGGGUGAGUAACACGUGAGUAACCUGCCCCAGACUUUGGGAUAACAGUUGGAAACGAUUGCUAAUACUGGAUAUGAGCUGCUGCCGCAUGGUGGUGGUUUGAAAGUUCCGGCGGUUUGGGAUGGGCUCGCGGCCUAUCAGCUUGUUGGUGAGGUGAUGGCUUACCAAGGCUUCGACGGGUAGCCGGCCUGAGAGGGCGACCGGCCACAUUGGGACUGAGAUACGGCCCAAACUCCUACGGGAGGCAGCAGUGGGGAAUAUUGCACAAUGGACGGAAGUCUGAUGCAGCAACGCCGCGUGCGGGAUGACGGCCUUCGGGUUGUAAACCGCUUUCAAUUGUGACGAAGCUUUUUGUGACGGUAGCAGUAGAAGAAGCACCGGCUAACUACGUGCCAGCAGCCGCGGUGAUACGUAGGGUGCGAGCGUUGUCCGGAUUUAUUGGGCGUAAAGAGCUUGUAGGUGGUUUGUCGCGUCGGGAGUGAAAACUCAGGGCUUAACUCUGAGCUUGCUUUCGAUACGGGCUGACUUGAGGGAGGUAGGGGAGAAUGGAAUUCCUGGUGGAGCGGUGGAAUGCGCAGAUAUCAGGAGGAACACCGGUGGCGAAGGCGGUUCUCUGGACCUUUCCUGACGCUGAGAAGCGAAAGCGUGGGGAGCGAACAGGCUUAGAUACCCUGGUAGUCCACGCUGUAAACGGUGGGUACUAGGUGUGGGGGACAUUCCACGUUCUCCGUGCCGUAGCUAACGCAUUAAGUGCCCCGCCUGGGGAGUACGGCCGCAAGGCUAAAACUCAAAGGAAUUGAC